rnacentral:tRNA from 3 species
GGGCCUAUGGCGCAGCGGUAUGUUACCACCACUUCAAAGGUGUCCAAUUCAAUUACUAAUGAUCAUCCAGGUAGCGCGUGAGAUUCCAGACCUCAAGGUCAUCCGUUCAAAUCGGGUUGGGCUCA